GGCUCCGGCUCCGGCUCCGGCUCCGGCUCCGGCUCCUAGACCCCUUAAAAGAUUGUGACCUAAGCCCAACAAUCCUCAAAAGCAGUUAGGAACCUGGGGUAUGGAAAUGUCUAGCUGUAAGAAGACUAAUUACAUGUAAGGGACAUGGAGGCAUAUGUGAGACUCAACCCUUCAGUGCUGCAGUUAAUGAACCUGGAGAAGGAGGUGAAGCAAGCCGGAAGCAAAGUUGCUCAGAAACACAGGGAAGAAGUACAGAUAAGGGCUCUGAGAAGAGGCAAUUAGUUCCCACUAUCUGUGUCCCUGAGCAACAUUUCACACCUGGUUGGCCUUUUCCCCCCUGCUAGUCUGGGUUUAUUGACUUCCUCUAGGGGCAGGGAAGAGCAGGUGGACUGAAGAACAUCAAGGAUGGGGAGGCAGCUACGUUUCAGUAUAACAAUACAAUGGUGGCGUUCUCUAUUAGCCUGCUGACCACUGCCUGCCUCCCUAGCGAGUCCUUCUGUGAAAGAGGACUUGGAUGGUCUACUCUAUGCUUUGCAAUGCACCGAUGAUCGUCUCCUCCACGCUGCCGCUUCAGAGCAUGGAAACCAGCCAUCAGGGGACAGCUUAAAGGACCUCUGCAAUAGUGGUAGCCAUGCCCCACCAGGCAACAGUUUUCAGGCAAAUGUGUAUCAGUCCCCUGGAAAGCUCAGUCUGUGGUGACCGGAGAUUUUACCAGUGCAGCUGAUGACAGUUGCUGCCUAUAUCAAAGGGGAAGAGAUGUCCUCUUUGUGUGUCUAGGGAUUGGAGAGAGGUUUCCGCCUCAGUUUUGCACAUUCCCAAGAAGUGGCUGGUGAAGCAUGCUCCUGUACCCUUCAUCCCUGCCUAUUGGCCUGAUCCAAAUCCCACUGAAGUUGAUGCUCUGGUUCCACCCGGACAGGCAAUCGGCUUAAACGUCCAGCUGGGGAUACCCUCUGCAUAGAGGAGCCCCAAUGGUUUAACAAUGGCCUAGCUGGCUCUGUGCCACCUGCUGCUGCCCAGCCCAGUGUAGUAAGUAUUCCAGGGCAGGGACAAGCAGGGAGCCUGGCUGAAGUGUGCCAUCUCUGGCAAUCCUUGGCCAGCAUGAUGGUCCCUGGAGGACAAUUACGGUCAGUAUGGAGAGACUGCAGAAAGCUUCCUAAAACCCAGCCCCUGGGAGGGCUGCUGAGCACAGCUUGCAUGCACCUGGGCCAGAGAUAGGCUUGGCAGAAUCCAGUUUUUAUUUUUUCUAAUUUCAACAGAUAUUUUAAAGUUCCCAAUAUUUAUCUAUUUGAAUUUUCACAGUUGCAGGAAAAUAAGGGGUGUGGGGGGGAGAGGCUUAGGGCAGCACUGAUAGAAGAGUUAUAGGGGGCUCCUAGUGCUGCCAAGGGGCCUGAGAUACCUGGGAGUCAGGUGCAGGGGAGGUUGCAAUCCUGGCCCCGUGGAGCAGUGAAUACCAACCAGGCAGGAGGACAAGACCCUGGUCUUGGGGGAAGCCACCUUGCUGUUGAAGGGCUCUUGCCAGGGAUAGCCCCAGCACUCCUGGCCAGUGAGUGAGUGUUGCUGUGACAGCAGGGCUACAGAAGGCUCCCUGCAGGGCGGAUGACACCGGAUCCCUGCAGGCACUAGGCUGGGGGAAGCUGUGCUUGCUAACAUCAAUAUUUUUUUGUUGUUGAUUUCAGUGUCAGGUGAAACUGACGUGUACCAAUGACUAAUGAUUUAAAUUGAAUCCUGCCAAGCCUACCCACAGAUUGUAAUGAGUCAUGCUGCUAAAUCCUCAUGAAACAUUUUGAUGCUAUAAUGAUGGGCUCUAUAGAAAACCAGAGAGGGGAGAGAGAACAAGCUGGAAAAGUCCAGAAAACUCUCCAGCCUGAGGGGCACUGUAUAUAAUUAAACUAUAGCCAGCUAGCUAUAUAAACUGCCAGAAAACAAAUAGCCACUCAUAUGAGAUGUAUAGAUACACUGGCCCAUCU